CCUGUUUGCAUAUAAGUCCCAUCUGGCACGUCAUUUUUAACUCCCACCCUUCUGUGCUCAGAGUUUUACCUCUAAUACAUCUCUGCUCUGGGAUUCCUUUUAUAGACAGAAAAAAGGAAGCAAAUAUGGUGCCAAAAGAAUUGUAAAUUGCACCAGGCAGGGUCUCAGAAUGUCAACAAUGGAAGCUGUACUGGAUAUAUGGGCUGCCAGUUCACAUCAAGAGAACUAUUGGGGAGGAAGAUAUUUUACCAUCACACAUCAUGUGAAAGAUCCAUAUCAAACUAGAGAUGGUUUGCUAGUAAAGCCCUAGCAAAUAUACUAAAGGACACAAUCCUGUGAGGGCCAGGGAGAUGCAGAAGAUCACCAAACUGUCAUUUCCACUUUCCAUUUCUGAAGCACGUGGGCCUGAUUCUUCUCUCACUUACACGAGUAUUACAUGUGUCAUUCCACUGACAUCAAGGGAUUACUCUCAAAUGACACCCAUGUGAGAGGAAGGAUGGUCUUGUAGGUUCUGACACAGUUUACAGUCCCGGCUCAGAAUCAGCCAAUACAUGACAUAAUUGGGCCCUGAAAUCCUCUUCUUAAAUUGGAUAAAGCUGCAAGUAUUAUCUGGGUUCUCUGAAUUCUUUUUUUAACCCCAGGAAGGAAACAGGUCACAGCAGUAUUAACAGCUGAUGUCUUAAAUUCAUUACGGGAAUGGCAUAAAAAGCAGUUUAUCAAGGGAGACUGAGUUCAGGUCACACACAUAUGUGGCCUUUGGUCUGAGUCAAAAUAAAAAUAGAAG